UACAGAGGUCCCGAGCGUUGUUCGGAAUCACUGGGCUUAAAGGGCGCGUAGGCGGGUUCCCAAGUCCGGGGUGAAAUCUUUCGGCUUAACCGGAAAAUAGCCUUGGAUACUGGGGGUCUCGAGGGAGGUAGGGGCAGCGGGAACUUCCGGUGGAGCGGUGAAAUGCGUUGAUAUCGGAAGGAACGCCGGUGGCGAAAGCGCGCUGCUGGACCUCUUCUGACGCUGAGGCGCGAAAGCCAGGGGAGCAAACGGG
rnacentral:rRNA from 1 species